rnacentral:lncRNA from 1 species
UCAGUACUUGUAGUUCCUAGUUUAGCCAUGAAAUCAGCUUUUAAAUAUACAAUUCAUUGACACUGAACAUCAAUGGGCUCAUAUAUUUACUAAGUCUUUAACUGUGGAAAGAUUUGAUUUUAUAAAGAAAAAUUUGAACAUGCACUUUGUGUCUGAUUAAAUUUGCUUACUCCUGAACAGAAAUUUAGGUUCUGAAGUCGUUCAGAAGCUAUAGUCCAUCAGAAGCUCUUUAUUGAGGUUCUGAGGAAAAUGUGCUUCUGAAGAUGACAUCAGCAUCUGAACUCCAGAAGCUGGGUUUUGUGCUCCUGAAUAGCAGAGUUAGUGGAAACGUUGGAAGUUACUUUUUAGUGACACCUGUAACAUCCCAAUUUUUAAUAUUAGUUUAUUAGAUAAUAUUGUAUUAUUAUGUUUAGUAGUAGUGUUGAUUGUGUGACAUUAUUUUUAUUUUUAUUUGAAUUAAAUUAGUUUUUGGCAUGUUUGGGUGAGGUUGUUUAGAUAAUUGGGAAGGGGACAUUGAAUUGUUAAGGGUAGUAUAUAUAAACUAGAGCUUUAAUUAAUGGUAGUAGUUUAAUUAAAAAGAGAAUGGGAGAAAAUAAGUUUUAAGAUGAAAAUAGCAUUUAUAGAGAGAAUAAGAAAAUAGAGUGCGAACGGAGGUAGCUUAGUAAAACUGAGUAGAAAAGAGGUGUAGUUAAUGAGCUGAUUAGUGUUUUAAUGAUUUAAGCAAAGAGGUGUGAAUAGCAAGGUGGUGUAGUUACAGAAAGAAUAGUAAUAGUAAUCUGAAAAGAUUAGUAACAAAGAGUCUGAAAAGAUUUGUAACAAACUCAAUUAGAGCUUAUAGAGAAACAAGACGGCAAAAGGAAAACUAGGGUUGUGGAGAGAAAAAACAAGAUGACAUAGAAAGAAGAACCUGGAGAGAGACUUCACUGUAUGAAUUCAUCAAAUUCUCCAAACUAGAGGUAAGGGGGGAGUCUCUAUUCACCAUAAGGGUUGUAUGAACAUAUGGGUAGGGAAGAACUUUUGUUUUCCAUUGAAUUGCAUGAUCUUUUAGUGAAUUUAGGUUAAAUUUGCACUUAAAUUGGCGCUGUAAUUUUGGGUAUAUUCUUGUCUCUAAAUUCAUUAUAUUCAUGUGCUAAAUUUGUGAUUCAAUUAUGGUUGUGUUGUGUUUUUUUUUAGUUUUCGAUAUAUUGCAAUCGUGAUUUCGAAAGAAAGUCUGAAAUAUGUUUUUGAUUUAAUCUGUGAUUUCAAAAUAUUGCACUGUAUUACGAUUUUCUAAGCACAAUUAUUAUUUCGACAUGAUACUGUACGAUAUAUGUAUUACUAUAACUAUAACUACUUUUUUUGUGCUCAAAUAUGCAUGCAUAAUCGUUCUUUUCUAUACUUUCAGGGGACCCUUCUCAAAUAGAUGAAGAUUUAAGUUCUUCUUUGGUUGUCACAGGGGAGCUUGAGAAUCUAGUCUCCAAGAAGUAUUUAGCUAUUGAUAACUUGUACUUGUUGACGGAUUUCCUUGUUAAUCAUCCUUCAAUUCUUCUAAGGAACAGUUCACCGAGUAACAGAUAUAAGGGUUAUGCCUACAACUGUCUAGCUGAUCUAUUGAAAUUCCUCCAAACGCAUUGUGUGUUGGAUGUGUUAGGUUCAAGCCACUCUGAAUUUGUUGAGUUAUUAGAAGAAGUGUGGAAAUGUGGUUUCAAUAUUGGUUGGACAGUGUCGAAAAGCGUGCUUUAUUUCCUGAUUUACAAUUCUCUCAAAAUGCAUUGCAAAAGCUGUUGAAUUCCCAACAGCGUGUAACCAAGGAAGUUGAAGAGAUGCGUUUAAAGAUUAACAUUUUUAAUCAACAUGAGGAAGAUCUUAAGCAUCAAUUGCAAGUCUCCGAGGCUGUUUUGGAGAGUCUCAUUCAACAGAAAGCAAGUUUUAGAAACUAAGGCUGCUUUAAGUGCCCCUCUUGGCUAUUAGACUUUCUUUUGUCAUCAAUUGGUAGUUACUAGUUUCUGCUUUUCUCAUUUGAAAUGAACUAUUAUGUUUGUGUACUUUAAAUUUGUUAUUGAUUACUGUAUUAAACAAAGGAAACGCCAUAUUAAGAAUAUUGUAAUUGGAAUGACAUGCUGAAUGUGCCCCUCUUGGCUAUUAGAGUAUCUUUUGUUGUUGGAGCUUCUAUCUUUGAAUGUUAUUGUUUAUUUCUUGGGUAGUUUAUUCUUUUCCCAUUUGAUAUGAACUACUAUCAUAUUCUAUUUGUGUAUUUUAAAAUUGUUAUUAAUUGUUGUAUCAAACAAGGGAAAAGCCAUAGUAAGAAUAUUGAAAAAUUGGAAUGGCAUAAUGUUAAACAUGAAACUAUGAUUCUUAAGAGUAGUGCUAGCAACACUCUCUCUAACAUUUAAUAUUAAGGUUCCUUCCACACAGUUUCACCUUCAAACCUCAUCACAAUUUGAUAAAGUCUUUUGGUUCAAUGACAUGCACUGCCAUGAUCUUUGUUCAACAUCAGGUAUGUAUAUUUUAUAUCUCUACAUUUUUCACUUUUUUACUAUAUAUCUACAUUUAUUACGGACACAACACUGAUACGUAUAAUUACACUGAAUUGUGUGAUUUUCUUAAAUUAUUAGCAGUGUGAACGUGUCAAUGUUUGUGUCGUGUCUGAUCUUCAUCCAUACCGUGCUUCAUAGAUAUUACACCUAUCAAUUUUAUUUGUCUUUACUCUUUUUUACGUCCGCUUCAAUCUCCACGGUCAGGGAAUAAGGAAUGGCUUGAUGUAGCUUCAAUGUGCAGUUGUUGAACAAGCGUGCUUUGUUUGGUCAUACAUCAUAAUUAAUAUUCCCUUUUUAUAUUUCAACAAGUGUGAUUUCCUUGAAUAAUCAAGUGAGUUGACAUCACAAUUUCCAUAUUUAUGAAAGUUCAUUUUAUAUAAUGUAUCCACACAAAAGCACAAGUUUAAUUAAUACACAGGCACCACUUUCAUACAAGGGUAUUGGGAUUUUGAAUUUUUCUAUCAAUUAUGGAAUUUAUGCGUAUAUUUGCUUUUUGGAACUUAUAAAGAUUUGAUCUUAAGUUAUACAAAUUGAAAAUAGUUGUGUUUGAUUAAGUAUCCUAUUUUUUUUUUCAAGUAUUUGUUUUUUGAAUAUAUAUAUAUAUAUAUACACACACUACUCUUAUUAUAUUAUUAUUAUUAUCUUAUAAUUAUAAUCUUUCUGUUUUAGCGAAAGGGAAGGCUACCUGGCUAUUUUGCAAGAUAGUUUGGAUUACAAGUUGCUCUUUAUGUUAUUCUCUGUAAUCCACAAACCAAAAUGAGUUCGAGGUUCUUGUGGAAAAGGAAAAUGGGAAAUUUUAUUUUUCGGAUGGUUGAGGAAAAGGAAAAUGUUAUUCUCUGUGAUCCAUUUUCGUCUGAAGAAACUGAAAUUGUCAUUGAUGAUUAUGAAGUGAAUUCCUAAGGUUUUG